AUUCUGGAGAAGUCUGCUGAAGGCAGAUGCCGAAGGUGCAAGCGGAGGUCCCCCGUAAACUCUCAGGCGAAAGGACAGAAU
rnacentral:ncRNA from 1 species